AAGUUUUCUAGGAAAAGAUGUGUCUGAAAUAACGGUCAAAAUUCCUUCGAAACGCUCAUGUUACAAUAAAGCUAUCCUUUGUGUAGCUAUAGUUCUUUAUGAUUAGGAAAUGAAUGAGUUUGAAGAAAGCUUUUCAAAAAUCUUGUUUAAUUUAACAUAAAUAACUAGUGAUUUUUUAAAACAAUCAAUCAAAUUUUUGUUCUAAUGUAUACAUUUUGGAAACAUCUUAAUAAACCUUUUGCAUUGAAAUGCUGUAAAGUUGCGUCAGUUAAACCAAUUUCAGUCACUGGUUCUACUUGAGUAUUUAAACAUGGAUAAGGCUGUAGUAUAUAAAUUAUAAUGAAAGGAGCGUGAGCAAUUCAUUAAUUGAAUUACAUAUUAUAUUACUAAAUUUUUAAUUUAUCGGUACCUAUUGAGACAACAUCAAUCUUUUUAUUAUUAAAACACAAACACAUACAGACACACAUACAUAAAACGAAGCAAAGCAAAUUAAAGCAUAAUUUAAUGGGGAUUUAAGAAACUUUUCAAACCAUUCGUAUUUUUGGAGCUUCAAAAUAACUCAAACUCCUACCUGAGAAAGAACGUUUAGAUUAAGAUAGACGGUGUAAAUCAAAGAAAUUAAUAGAAAUGAAGAACUAAAGAAAAUCUUUUUUAUUCGAACGACGUUAAUAGUUCGUGAUUCCUCACAACUAAGCGAUCAAAAGCCAUUUCCGAUAUUGUGCAAAAGAAACAUUACAAGUUAUUUAAGGACCUUGACUUUAAUUCAAAAUACGAGGCAAAAUUUGUGUCAAUAAUGAUAGCGAAAGAAACAAAAUAAAUUUUUAGGAUUGUUACAUUAAUAAAAAAGUUUUAUUAAAUUUUUCAACAAACACUUUUCUUUUAAUGUCGGAGAUGGUGAAGUAGAACAACGGAUUUGUUAGUAUUUGUGAUUACUUUUUUAUUAGAACGUUAAACUGAAAUGAAACACAACAAGGUAUUAAGGAAGAGUAAUGCUAUCAAAGAUACAUUAUGUUAGACAAAACUUGAGUCUACUUUUAUAUAAAAAUAAAAUCAUCGUCUACACAUGAGAAGAUAACAAUUCUGUAGAGCCAUCACUUUGAUUUCAUCAAUUUUCACUUUUCAUAUUAAUAAAUUAGACCAGUAGGUAUUACACGU